rnacentral:ncRNA from 1 species
AUGGAAGUCGGAAUCCGCUAAGGAGUGUGUAACAACUCACCUGCCGAAUGAACUAGCCCUGAAAAUGGAUGGCGCUCAAGCGUACUACCAAUACCUCGCCGCUAGGGUAGAAACGAUGCCCUAGCGAGUAGGCAGGCGUGGAGGCCCGUGACGAAGCCUUGGGGGUGACCCCGGGUAGAACGGCCUCUAGUGCAGAUCUUGGUGGUAGUAGCAAAUACUCAAAUGAGAACUUUGAGGACUGAAGUGGGGAAAGGUUCCGUGUGAACAGCAGUUGGACACGGGUUAGUCGAUCCUAAGCCAUAGGGAAACUCCGUUUUAAAGUGCGCUCUCGGGCGCCGCCUGGCGAAAGGGAAACCGGUUAAUAUUCCGGUACCUCGAUGUGGAUUAUCCGCGGCAACGCAACUGAAGGUGGAGACGUCGGCGGGGGCCCCGGGAAGAGUUCUCUUUUCUUCUUAACUGUCUAUCACCCUGAAAUCGGUUUGUCCGGAGCUAGGGUUUAAUGGCAGGU